rnacentral:rRNA from 1 species
UUGAAAGGGAAACGAUUGAAGUCAGUCGUACCAGCGGGAAAUCAACCUUUCGAGUGGGGGUUUUGGAGUUUUGAAGAGUGUCAAAACCUUUGAGAUUUCAAAAUUUUCGCUCUUUUGGUGUACUUUCUCGUGGGUAGGUUAACAUCGAUUUUGAUCAUCAUAAAAAGAUUGGAGGAAUGUAGCUUCGAUCUUGUAUUGAAGUGUUAUAGCCUUUGGUAAAUGUGAUGAUUAGGAUCGAGGAUUGCAACGAGUACCCUUUUGGGCUAUCCGCCUGAUCUCUGAUACGUGGCCUUGGUAUCGAAAGCGUGCUUAUGGUAUUGAGGUAUUACGGUCAAAAGGUUAGAACGGAUUACAUUCGUUAAGGAUGUUGACGUA